GACGAACGCUGGCGGCGCGCCUAACACAUGCAAGUCGAACGAGCGAGAGAGAGCUUGCUUUCUUGAGCGAGUGGCGAACGGGUGAGUAACGCGUGAGAAACCUGCCUCAAAGAGGGGGACAACAGUUGGAAACGACUGCUAAUACCGCAUAAGCCCACGGUGCCGCAUGGCACAGAGGGAAAAGGAGCAAUCCGCUUUGAGAUGGCCUCGCGUCCGAUUAGCUAGUUGGUGAGGUAACGGCCCACCAAGGCGACGAUCGGUAGCCGGACUGAGAGGUUGAACGGCCACAUUGGGACUGAGACACGGCCCAGACUCCUACGGGAGGCAGCAGUGGGGAAUAUUGCACAAUGGGGGAAACCCUGAUGCAGCGACGCCGCGUGGAGGAAGAAGGUCUUCGGAUUGUAAACUCCUGUUGUUGGGGAAGAUAAUGACGGUACCCAACAAGGAAGUGACGGCUAACUACGUG
rnacentral:rRNA from 1 species